UACUCCCUUGAAUUCCAGGCUCAUAUAUCCAGCUUCCUUCUUGAUAUAUCCAGUUGCAUAUUAAUAAGGACUGUGACAUUUUCAAAGCAUGUCUUGACUUCCGCACAAUCCCUGCCCAGUUACCUCUUAAAAUGCCCACUCAUACUUUACAUUCUCAAAUGUGUUUCUGUCCUUAGUGUUUCUACAUUCUCAAAUGUGUUUCUGUCCUUAGUGUUUCUACAUUCUCAAAUGUGUUUCUGUACAGUCCAGUGAAGACUGUACCAUCUAUUCAGUGGCUUAAGCCAAAGCCUUGAAAGUAAUACUUCUAUCACAUCCUCCUCACUGAUUUGGCCCACCAUGAUCCUAAUGCAAACCAUCAUCAUGUCUUUUCUAAUCCACUGCAAUAGCCUGUUAAAUGAUGUUCCCAUUUUUCAGAAUGAAAUAAAUCAGAAGGUCUGAUUGAGAUCUCAGUUUAAAAGCCUGAAAGUCUAAGAGACUAUGAUAUCCAUUUAGGAGACCUGAACAUCUUACAUAUUUUGGAACUUUUCUGGGGACCAAAGUGAUCCAGACCCAGGUGUUUUGUUGCCAUUGCUUUUGGAGUUUUAGUCACAAAGUCUUUGCCCAUGCCUAUGUCCUAAAUCAUAUUGCCUAGUUUUUCUUCUAGGGUUUUUAUGGUUUCGGGUUUUACAUUUAAGCCUUUAAUGCAUCUUGAGUUAAGUUUUGUAUAAGGACACACUUCUUUUUCUUCUAUUUUCUAUUUUCAUUUUGGAA
rnacentral:lncRNA from 1 species